CCUACGGGAGGCAGCAGUGAGGAAUAUUGGUCAAUGGACGCAAGUCUGAACCAGCCAUGCCGCGUGCAGGAUGACGGCUCUAUGAGUUGUAAACUGCUUUUGUACGGGGGUAAACCCCGAUACGUGUAUCGGGUUGAAAGUAUCGUACGAAUAAGGAACGGCUAACCCCGUGCCAGCAGCCGCGGUAAUACGGAGGAUCCGAGCGUUAUCCGGAUUUAGUGGGUUUAAAGGGAGCGUAGGCGGUGUGAUAAGUUAGAGGUGAAAUGUCGGGGCUCAACCCCGGAACUGCCUCUAAUACUGUUGGGCUAGAGAAUAGUUGCGGUAGGCAGAAUGUAUGGUGUAGCGGUGAAAUGCUUAGAGAUCAUACAGAACACCGAUUGCGAAGGCAGCUUACCAAACUAUAUCUGACGUUGAGGCACGAAAGCGUGGGUAGCAAACAGGAUUAGAUACCCGAGUAGUC
rnacentral:rRNA from 1 species